UGGGGAAUAUUGGACAAUGGGGGCAACCCUGAUCCAGCCAUGCCGCGUGUGUGAAGAAGGCCUUUUGGUUGUAAAGCACUUUAAGCAGGGAGGAGAGGCUAAUGGUUAAUACCCAUUAGAUUAGACGUUACCUGCAGAAUAAGCACCGGCUAACUCUGUGCCAGCAGCCGCGGUAAUACAGAGGGUGCGAGCGUUAAUCGGAAUUACUGGGCGUAAAGCGAGUGUAGGUGGCUCAUUAAGUCACAUGUGAAAUCCCCGGGCUUAACCUGGGAACUGCAUGUGAUACUGGUGGUGCUAGAAUAUGUGAGAGGGAAGUAGAAUUCCAGGUGUAGCGGUGAAAUGCGUAGAGAUCUGGAGGAAUACCGAUGGCGAAGGCAGCUUCCUGGCAUAAUAUUGACACUGAGAUUCGAAAGCGUGGGUAGCAAACAGGAUUAGAUACCCUGGUAGUCCACGCCGUAAAACGAUGUCUACUAGCCGUUGGGGUCCUUGAGACUUUAGUGGCGCAGUUAACGCGAUAAGUAGACCGCCUGGGGAGUACGGCCGCAAGGUUAAAAACUU
rnacentral:rRNA from 1 species